CUAUUUUCUCUCUGGGACUGAUGUUUUAUCGAGAUGUCAGCUGACGUCACAGAUCACAGCUGAAAUACAACAGUGUGAGAGAAGAAACUAUAAUGAGGUGCUUGAUUUGUCUUCUGGAGAUCUGCACAGAGGAGGAAUAAAACCCAUCACCUUUGUUCGUCAAUUUCACUGAUGAUCCAAAAUCAACUCUAAACCCAGGAUAGAGCGGCUGAGUGAAUGUGGUCUGGACU